UACGUAGGGGGCUAGCGUUGUCCGGAAUCAUUGGGCGUAAAGCGCGUGUAGGCGGUCCGGUAAGUCCGCUGUGAAAGUCGAGGGCUCAACCCUCGAAUGCCGGUGGAUACUGUCGGGCUUGAGUACGGGAGAGGCGAGUGGAAUUCCUGGUGUAGCGGUGAAAUGCGCAGAUAUCUGGAGGAACACCAAUUGCGAAGGCAGCUCGCUGGGACGUUACUGACGCUGAGACGCGAAAGCGUGGGGAGCAAACAGG
rnacentral:rRNA from 1 species